UACGUAGGUGGCAAGCGUUAUCCGGAUUUACUGGGUGUAAAGGGCGUGUAGGCGGGAAAGCAAGUCAGAUGUGAAAACCAUGGGCUCAACCUGUGGCCUGCAUUUGAAACUGUUUUUCUUGAGUACUGGAGAGGCAGACGGAAUUCCUAGUGUAGCGGUGAAAUGCGUAGAUAUUAGGAGGAACACCAGUGGCGAAGGCGGUCUGCUGGACAGCAACUGACGCUGAGGCGCGAAAGCGUGGGGAGCAGACAGG
rnacentral:rRNA from 1 species